AUCCUGCAACAAUGCCAGAUCAACUGUCAGCUCCCAAAUGCAUUGUAUCAAGAUAUGUAUACAGAAUAUGAUACUUGCCUCCGAAGAAUUCAGCCAUCUUGAAACGACAGAGCUUCCCGAUCUUCCUAACUGAAGACACCUGCUCAUGCUGCAGGCAAUGCAGCAGUACUGAAGAUGAUCUCUCUAGAUGGUACUAUCAUUCUACAGGCAUGCAGCUGCACUGGACCAGGAUGGUUUAGUGUACAUGCUUGUCUCAAGCUGCUGGUGGAGAAUCUUUGCCCCCAGCUUUGCUUCAGGGAUUAGGCAGGAAUUUGAAGAUGGCAUUGGCUGAAAAGGUAUGUGUUUCCCUU